GAUUAAAUGGCUGAGUUUAGC
rnacentral:tRNA from 3 species